UCCUGGUCCCCCCGGCCCACGGCUGCAUCUUCUCGUUCCACCCGCUGAGCACGACCUUCUCCAUGGCCAUCGACGAGCUGGUGAGCGGUGUCCCCGUUGGGCCCCCAGGGGCCCCCCAUCACCCUCCCAGCACGGCCCCACNNNNNUCAUCCCCCCGUCUCCCCCUCUCCUUCAGACCCAGCACCUGCUCCACGAUUACCCCGUCUCGAUGCCGUCGAACCUGGAACCGGACACCUGGUGCGCUGAGCUGUGGAGGAUCCAUUUCCUGGCAGCGGAGCUGGGGCACAUGGGGGGCGUCGCGGGCCCGGCCCUGCAGCCCCUCGUGGCCACUGUGACCAAGCAGGUCCAGUUCGUCCAGGAGUGCGGCAUUACCGAUCCCAUGGGCUGCGUGGGGUGGGAACGCACCAACGUGUCAUGGAUGCUGAGUGCCCUGAACGGCCACCUGGCGGCGCUGAGGAGCAAAAUCCUACGUCAGGCGGGGCCCAUCGACUUCAGUAACUGCACCCCCGUCCGCUGC
rnacentral:lncRNA from 1 species